ensembl:lncRNA
AAAUCUUGCUGUUCCCGUGAACAAACUCAUAUACAUCUUGGAUGGCCUGAGGGUUAAACUUUUACUCCACAUGGCUGACAAACAGAGCAAGAUGAAGCCCAAAAUAAAGGAGCCACGAGCUGCUCUGGAGAAAUCAAGAAAAAUGAUGCUGAGAAGUGCUGUAACCAGCUGAUCAAGCAGAAAAUUAGCAUGAAAGAACAGAUAUCCAGGAUAUGAAAGAGCCGUUAGAGAAGGAGAAGAAUGUUGCCAAUGCUUGAAGUGCUCAAAACUAAUGGAUCUGAGAAGAGACUUGGAAGGAUAGGAGUCGAUUCUGGCAAAGUCAGAAAAGGAAAAACAG